rnacentral:rRNA from 1 species
CCAGACUCCUACGGGAGGCAGCAGUGAGGACUCUUUUUCAAUGGGCUUUCUCCUGAACCAGCCAAGUCGCGUUAUUUAUGACGGCCCUAUUUUUUGUAAACCUCUUUUGCCGGGUAUCAAAGUGCCGCACUUGUGCGGUUUGGAGAGUACCCGGAGAAAAAGCAUCGGCUAACUCCGUGCCAGCAGCCGCGGUAAUACGGAGGAUGCGAGCGUUAUCCGGAUUUAUUGGGUUUAAAGGGUGAGUAGGCGGACGCUUAAGUCAGGGGUAAAAUUGCGGGGCUCAACCUCGUCGAGCCGUUGAAACUGGGUGCCUUGAGUGGGCGAGAAGUACGCGGAAUGCGUGGUGUAGCGGUGAAAUGCAUAGAUAUCACGCAGAACUCCGAUUGAGAAGGAAGCGUACCGGCGCCCAACUGACGCUGAAGCACGAAGGCGUGGGUAUCGAACAGGAUUAGAUACCCCUGUAA